UACGAAGGGGGCUAGCGUUGCUCGGAAUCACUGGGCGUAAAGCGCACGUAGGCGGCUUGUUAAGUCAGGAGUGAAAUCCUGGAGCUCAACUCCAGAACUGCCUUUGAUACUGGCGAUCUCGAGUCCGGGAGAGGUGAGUGGAACUGCGAGUGUAGAGGUGAAAUUCGUAGAUAUUCGCAAGAACACCAGUGGCGAAGGCGGCUCACUGGCCCGGUACUGACGCUGAGGUGCGAAAGCGUGGGGAGCAAACAGG
rnacentral:rRNA from 1 species